CCUACGGGAGGCAGCAGUAGGGAAUUUUCGGCAAUGGGGGGAACCCUGACCGAGCAACGCCGCGUGAACGAAGAAGUUAUUCGUAAUGUAAAGUUCUUUUAACAGGGAAGAAAGAGAAAUUUGACGGUACCUGAAGAAUAAGCUCCGGCUAACUACGUGCCAGCAGCCGCGGUAAUACGUAGGGAGCGAGCGUUAUCCGGAAUUAUUGGGCGUAAAGGGUGCGUAGAUGGCAUAGUAAGUCUUUGGUAAAAAUGCUGGGCUCAACCCAGUAGGGCAAAAGAUACUGCAAAGCUAGAGUAUGACAGAGGCAAGUGGAACUACAUGUGUAGCGGUAAAAUGCGUAGAUAUAUGUAAGAACACCAGUGGCGAAGGCGGCUUGCUGGGUCGAUACUGACAUUGAGGCACGAAAGCGUGGGGAGCAAACAGGAUUAGAUACCCCAGUAGUC
rnacentral:rRNA from 1 species